CCUGCCCCUAGAAGCGUAGCAGGUGUGGCUGCUGUGUCACUUGUCUCAUGUGCAUCAGUUGGUGGCAGAGAGGAGAGAGGCUAUGUCUAUACUCGGUGUUCUGACCCGUCACCAUCCGAAACGUUCCCUGGGAAA